GAUGAACGCUGGCGGCGUGCCUAAUACAUGCAAGUCGAGCGAACAGACGAGGAGCUUGCUCCUCUGAUGUUAGCGGCGGACGGGGGAGUAACACGUGGAUAACCUACCUAUAAGACUGGGAUAACUUCGGGAAACCGGAGCUAAUACCGGAUAACAUGUUGAACCGCAUGGUUCAACAGUGAAAGACGGUCUUGCUGUCACUUAUAGAUGGAUCCGCGCCGCAUUAGCUAGUUGGUAAGGUAACGGCUUACCAAGGCAACGAUGCGUAGCCGACCUGAGAGGGUGAUCGGCCACACUGGAACUGAGACACGGUCCAGACUCCUACGGGAGGCAGCAGUAGGGAAUCUUCCGCAAUGGGCGAAAGCCUGACGGAGCAACGCCGCGUGAGUGAAGAAGGUCUUCGGAUCGUAAAACUCUGUUAUUAGGGAAGAACAAAUGUGUAAGUAGCUAUGCACGUCUUGACGGUACCUAAUCAGAAAGCCACGGCUAACUACGUG
rnacentral:rRNA from 1 species